rnacentral:rRNA from 1 species
AUUGAACGCUGGCGGCAUGCCUUACACAUGCAAGUCGAACGGUAACGGGCCUUCGGGUGCCGACGAGUGGCGAACGGGUGAGUAAUACAUCGGAACGUGCCCGAUCGUGGGGGAUAACGAGGCGAAAGCUUUGCUAAUACCGCAUACGAUCUACGGUUGAAAUCAGGGGACCGCAAGGCCUUGCGCGGGCGGAGCGGCCGAUGGCAGAUUAGAUAGUUGGUGGGAUAAAAGCUUACCAAGCCGACGAUCUGUAGCUGGUCUGAGAGGAUGAUCAGCCACACUGGGACUGAGACACGGCCCAGACUCCUACGGGAGGCAGCAGUGGGGAAUUUUGGACAAUGGGCGCAAGCCUGAUCCAGCCAUGCCGCGUGCAGGAUGAAGGCCUUCGGGUUGUAAACUGCUUUUGUACGGAACGAAAAGCCUUCUUUUAAUACAGGAGGGUCAUGACGGUACCGUAAGAAUAAGCACCGGCUAACUACGUG